UCAAGCUAGAAAGGGCGUAGGGAGGAUGCCUUGGCACUAGGAGCCGAAGAAGGACGUGGUAAGCUGCGAAAAGCUACGGUGAGCCGCAAGCAGGCUUUGACCCGUAGAUAUCCGAAUGGGGAAACCCGGCGGUGGUAAUGCGCCGCCACCCAUGGAUGAACACAUAGUCCAUGAGGAGGGAACGCGGAGAACUGAAACAUCUAAGUAUCCGUAGGAAGAGAAAGAAACAUCGAUUUCCUUAGUAGCGGCGAGCGAAGAGGAAAGAGCCUAAACCGUGUGUCUUCGGACAUGCGGGGUUACGGACCGGCGGAAUCAAUGAAUGUGUUAAUUGAACACCUCUGGAAAGAGGGGCCAUAGAAGGUAAAAGCCCUGUAAAUGAAAACGCAGACAGCGAGGCUGGUAUCCAGAGUACCACGGGACACGAGGAAUCCCGUGGGAAGUCGGGGGGACCACCCCCCAAGGCUAAAUACUACCUAGUGACCGAUAGAGUAUAGUACCGUGAGGGAAAGGUGAAAAGUACCCCGGGAGGGGAGUGAAAGAGUACCUGAAACCCUAUGCCUACAAGCAGAGGAAGCACGUUAAAGUGUGACCUUGUACUUUUUGUAGAACGGGCCGGCGAGUUACGUUGUGCAGCGAGGUUAAGGUGUUGAGCACCGGAGCCGUAGGGAAACCGAGUCUGAAUAGGGCGAAUUAGUUGCACACCGUAGACCCGAAACCGGGUGACCUAUCCAUGAGCAGGAUGAAGGUGGGGUAAAACCCACUGGAGGUCCGAACCACACCAAUGUUAAAAAAUUGGGGGAUGACUUGUGGAUAGCGGAGAAAUUCCAAUCGAACCCGGAGAUAGCUGGUUCUCCUCGAAAUAGCUUUAGGGCUAGCCUCGAGAACUAGGAACAUGGGGGUAGAGCACUGAAUGAGCUAGGGGGCCUCAAAGCUUACCGAACUCUAUCAAACUCCGAAUACCAUGUGACCGAUACUCGGGAGUCAGACUACGUGAGAUAAGUCUCGUGGUCAAAAGGGAAACAGCCCAGACCAACGACUAAGGUCCCAAAGUGCAGGUUAAGUGGAAAAGGAUGUGCAAUUGCUUAGACAACCAGGAUGUUGGCUUAGAAGCAGCCACUCAUUUAAAGAGUGCGUAAUAGCUCACUGGUCGAGUGAUUGUGCGCCGAAAAUGUACCGGGGCUAAACCUGCCACCGAAGUCUUGGAAUUCAGUUUACUGGAUUGGUAGAGGAGCAUCGUGCAUGGGCUGAAGCAUGACCGGAAGGACAUGUGGACUGUGCACGAGAGAGAAUGCCGGCAUGAGUAGCGAGAGCAGAGUGAGAAUCUCUGCCGUCGAAAGCCUAAGGUUUCCUGAGGAAGGUUCGUCCCCUCAGGGUAAGUCAGGACCUAAGCCGAGGACGAAAGUCGUAGGCGAUGGACAACAGGUUGAUAUUCCUGUACCACCUUAACACGUUAUACGAUGCAGUGACACAGAAGGAUAGGCAAAGCGGGUUGAUGGUAGAACCCGUCCAAGCACUGAGGGUGCAGCGUAGUGAAGUACGCGCUGUGAUAAGCCUGGGGUGUGAUGGGGACAGAAAAUAAGUAUGGAAGUUGCUGAAUUCACGCUGGCGAGAAAAGCUGCUAAGGAGUGUUAUUGGUGCCUGUACCGCAAACCGACACAGGUAGGCGAGGAGAGAAUCCUAAGACGAGCGGGAGAACCCUUGUUAAGGAACUCGGCAAAAUGACCCCGUAACUUUGGGAGAAGGGGUGCCUCGAAAGAGGCCGCAGUGAAUAGGCCCAAGCGACUGUUUAGCAAAAACACAGGUCUGUGCCAAGUCGAGAGACGAUGUAUACAGGCUGACGCCUGCCCAGUGCCGGAAGGUCAAGGGGAAGUGUUAGGGCAACCGAAGCACGGAACUUAAGCCCCGGUGAACGGCGGCCGUAACUAUAACGGUCCUAAGGUAGCGAAAUUCCUUGUCGGGUAAG
rnacentral:rRNA from 1 species